GGGAGGACAGGUGGUGCAUGGUUGUCGUCAGCUCGUGUCGUGAGAUGUUGGGUUAAGUCCCGCAACGAGCGCAACCCCUAUUGUCAGUUGCCAGCAGGUUAAGCUGGGCACUCUGGCGAGACUGCCGUUGACAAAACGGAGGAAGGUGGGGACGACGUCAAAUCAUCAUGCCCCUUAUGUUCUGGGCUACACACGUGCUACAAUGGCCGGUACAGACGGACGCAAAGCCGCGAGGUGGAGCAAAUCCUAAAAAGCCGGUCUCAGUUCGGAUUGCAGGCUGCAAUUCGCCUGCAUGAAGUCGGAAUCGCUAGUAAUCGCAGGUCAGCAUACUGCGGUGAAUACGUUCCCGGGCCUU
rnacentral:rRNA from 1 species